UCCCACACAACCCAAAGGGCUGGUUUCACUCCCACUGUGGCCCACCCCCUACAACAGCACCAAGUCUGUUUUCAGGCAGUGGGCGAGCAGGGCUGAGAGCUUGCCCCAGGCUACCCACUUACCAGCUGCAAAACCAAGUAGGACGUUUGUUCUUCCCAGGCCUGUGGAGUCUGCACACUGAAUUCAUAUCUUUCUCCAAGUCCUGGCCAGGAGACUUCUCAAUCAGUUCAAACUGUUACAAAGUUCAGCUGGAGGUUUCCUGCUCCCUGUGGCCUUUUUCCAGUGCCUCUGACUGCCCCCCCUCCAAGGACUCUGUGAGGCAGGGCAGAAAUGGCUUGCCAGGGGACCCAGUGAGUCCACAGGGCUUUUCCUGCUGCUUCCUCUACCCUGUAUUUUGCUUGGCUCUCUAAAUUGAUUCAACUCCAGCAUUAGAUGUAGUCACAUUUGCAAGAUGGGAGACCUGGAGUUCUGGAGUUCUGGACUAGAGCUGGCAACCUGGAUUCUGCAUACCUGAUUAGGUCUAUAAAAUGUCCUCAGGCAUAUAAAAUCCGUGCAUUAGAAGUCAAUUCUCGAAAGUCAAAACAUCAUAUAGGACUUUUGCUGACCAAAAACUAAAGGCUUCUGAGCAAGAUCACCAUUUGGAGACAGACUUAUCUAAAAUGAAUGAGCUGCUUCCUGUUGUGUUCUGCAAAAUGGGAGAAAGGAGGAC